rnacentral:hammerhead_ribozyme from 1 species
ACUAGUUGAAGAGUUCAAAAUUGGACGAAAUGCGUGUCCUGGAU